rnacentral:rRNA from 1 species
CCCUUAGAGUUUGAUCCUGGCUCAGGACGAACGCUGGCGGCGUGCCUAACACAUGCAAGUCGAGCGAAGUGCUUGCGAUAGAUUCCUUCGGGAUGAAGAUGCAAGUAUCUUAGCGGCGGACGGGUGAGUAACGCGUGAGGAACCUGCCUUCUACAAGGGGAUAGCCUCGGGAAACCGGGAUUAAUACCCUAUGAUACUUAAAAUCCGCAUGAAAUUUAAGUUAAAGCGUAAAGCGGUAGAAGAUGGUCUCGCGUCCCAUUAGUUAGUUGGUGAGGUAACGGCUCACCAAGACAGCGAUGGGUAGCCGGCUUGAGAGAGUGAACGGCCACACUGGAACUGAGACACGGUCCAGACUCCUACGGGAGGCAGCAGUGGGGAAUAUUGCACAAUGGAGGAAACUCUGAUGCAGCGACGCCGCGUGAGCGAUGAAGGUCUUCGGAUCGUAAAGCUCUGUCCUAUGGGACGAUAAUGACGGUACCAUAGGAGGAAGCCCCGGCUAACUACGUGCCAGCAGCCGCGGUAAUACGUAGGGGGCGAGCGUUGUCCGGAACUACUGGGCGUAAAGGGUACGCAGGCGGCCAAGCAAGUCAGAUGUGAAAGGCGUAGGCUCAACCUAUGUAAGCAUUUGAAACUGUUUGGCUUGAGUUAAGGAGAGGAAAGUGGAAUUCCUGGUGUAGCGGUGAAAUGCGUAGAUAUCAGAAGAAUAUCAGUGGCGAAGCGACUUUCUGGACUUAUACUGACGCUGAGUACGAAAGCGUGGGGAGCAAACAGAUAGAUACCCUGGUAGUCACGCC